GAGUUUGAUCCUGGCUCAGAGCGAACGCUGGCGGCAGGCUUAACACAUGCAGGUCGAACGGGCACUUCGGUGUCAGUGGCAGACGGGUGAGUAACGCGUGGGAACAUACCUCUUGGUUCGGAACAACACAGGGAAACUUGUGCUAAUACCGGAUAAGCCCUUACGGGGAAAGAUUUAUCGCCGAGAGAUUGGCCCGCGUCUGAUUAGCUAGUUGGUGUGGUAAAGGCGCACCAAGGCGACGAUCAGUAGCUGGUCUGAGAGGAUGAUCAGCCACAUUGGGACUGAGACACGGCCCAAACUCCUACGGGAGGCAGCAGUGGGGAAUAUUGGACAAUGGGCGCAAGCCUGAUCCAGCCAUGCCGCGUGAGUGAUGAAGGCCUUAGGGUUGUAAAGCUCUUUUGUACGGGAAGAUAAUGACGGUACCGUAAGAAUAAGCCCCGGCUAACUUCGUGCCAGCAGCCG
rnacentral:rRNA from 1 species